ACGAUGUGGGAAGGCCCAGACAGCCAGGAUGUUGGCUUAGAAGCAGCCAUCAUUUAAAGAAAGCGUAAUAGCUCACUGGUCGAGUCGGCCUGCGCGGAAGAUGUAACGGGGCUAAACCAUGCACCGAAGCUGCGGCAGCGACGCUGAUGCGUUGUUGGGUAGGGGAGCGUUCUGUAAGCCUGCGAAGGUGUGCUGUGAGGCAUGCUGGAGGUAUCAGAAGUGCGAAUGCUGACAUAAGUAACGAUAAAGCGGGUGAAAAGCCCGCUCGCCGGAAGACCAAGGGUUCCUGUCCAACGUUAAUCGGGGCAGGGUGAGUCGACCCCUAAGGCGAGGCCGAAAGGCGUAGUCGAUGGGAAACAGGUUAAUAUUCCUGUACUUGGUGUUACUGCGAAGGGGGGACGGAGAAGGCUAUGUUGGCCGGGCGACGGUUGUCCCGGUUUAAGCGUGUAGGCUGGUUUUCCAGGCAAAUCCGGAAAAUCAAGGCUGAGGCGUGAUGACGAGGCACUACGGUGCUGAAGCAACAAAUGCCCUGCUUCCAGGAAAAGCCUCUAAGCAUCAGGUAACAUCAAAUCGUACCCCAAACCGACACAGGUGGUCAGGUAGAGAAUACCAAGGCGCUUGAGAGAACUCGGGUGAAGGAACUAGGCAAAAUGGUGCCGUAACUUCGGGAGAAGG
rnacentral:rRNA from 1 species